UCUGAGACUAGAAAGGUUACUCAAAUUUUGGAUGAGAAACCAAAAAUAAGAAGAAAAUAAAAGAAAAUAGAAAUUUCUUGGAAAAGAAGUAAUGGAAUGGAAAUUUAGGAUUGAUUAUCCCAUUUGUCCACAUCUCUCCGUCCUUCACAUCUUACUUUCAUCAAUUGCCAGUCGCCGUCGCCGUUGCCGCCACUCUACUGGAGACUGCUCUUCUUUUCCCUUCCCUAUUCUUUUUCUGUUUGGCCAUCCAAGUUCGAGGAAACGAUCCAUGUACAAUUUUUCUUGGUUUUGUUAAUUUCCGGCUUCCUCGUCCUGGCGAACCCCGUGAUGCAGUGAAAACUUGGUCGAGCGCGAUGGCAACAGCGUCCCGUAGGUGGAUACUUCAACUACACAAGGACGUACCCGAAAUCGAAGUGGCAAUGAAUGUUCUUCGUUGGACAGAGCUUCCGUUCGGACUUCUCAAACUCGCUCUCAUGCAAUCCAAGUAAUUAACGUAACUUUUGGUUCUGUACUAGUUUUUUAAUCCAUGCAUUUCGUGUCUUUUGGUGUUCUGUUUAUACGGAAGAAAGUGUGCUGCUGUAGUGUUGGUGGAUGCCAUGUUCGUGUUUGAUGUUUUGCCUGCGAGAAAUUAUGAAUGAAAUACGGUCAAAUGUUAUUGCCUAAAUGCGGCCUGGGCGUGCUUGUAUUCGUACAAAGCUCCCUCAGGUCAAUGGCUAACGAGGUUCGUAAAUGGUUGAUUUUAUAUUUUCGUAUGUGUUCCACUGGUGGUUUAACUGUGUUCGUGGAUUAUAAGGAAGGAUGAUGUAAUAGAGGCAUAUUGCCUUAAAGAUCAAUGCUCUUAGAAACAAAUACUAAAACUCACAAAUUUAUUUGAUAUCAAUCUCAAGGGAAGGAUUAGGCGAAGGAUUAACAUUGACGAUCAAAGAUCAUGAGCCGUAGACCAAGAAUUGCAAGGUGACAAAGCUCAUGGCUCCUAAGUGUGAUGGGAAUACAUAUUUGCAUGGAAAAAUGGUGUAGCCCCAACCUCAUGGACAGACAAUCUAUACUUUGAUGCUGUUUCUACACUCGCAAUUCUUCUCGUCUGAAUGUCAAUCACAUUAUAAUUGUGACCUAGGGAUAUUUCUGCUGAGCGAAUUCUCUGAAAAAAGACAAUCCAACCCUGUUUGUUAUGUUUUGGACUUGCUAAGCUUGUAGAUUCAAGAAGGUCCCGGGAGAUAAAGUUUCGUCCGAUUGCCCCAGGAUCAAUCUCAUCAUUCACUGGACGGACUGUAUUCAUGCCAGACAGACCAAAGCUGGCAUCUUCAUUAUGUGCUGCAAGGGCCAAUGAGUCACUAACAAUAAGAAGAUCAGAACAAUCAUCUGUACAAUCAACAAUGGAAGCCUCGUCCUGAAUAAAUGGAAGAAUCUCCCUCCUGAAGUUGAGUAGAAUAAUCUGCACAUUGAUUUUCCAAGAGGGAUUCUAUAAGAGGCUUUGACUCUGGAGUUUGAGCGAAAGGAACCAGCUGUUCGCGAAGAACCAUGUCUUUCUCCAAUCUGCUCCUUAUGGUAUCAGAGAACCUCUUCCCAAUCAAGAACCCCAUCUGGUAUGGAGAUUCGCAUGGACCAACUUCAAACAUUUCCAGCUCUUUGUUUUCCAUAUCUUGUUGAUUUUGUUGUUUUCCUAUCCCACAUGGACCAACUUCUGAAUUCUCCACCUCUUUGUUCUCCAUAUCCUGUUGUUUUUGUUGUUUUUCUAUCUCGCAUGCACAUUUGCAUGGACUGACUACAAAAUUCUCCUGCUCUUUGCUUUCCAUA